rnacentral:lncRNA from 1 species
UAGGAGGGUGUUCGGCCGAGAAUGAGAGAGGGGAAGAAGAAGAGAGGGUUGAGUUGACAUACAUAGAUGUAUGUUGGUCCAUGCAUGGAAGUAUGGUGGACAUAAAUGAGGUGGCAUGAAGAAGUCAACUCCUUUCUUCUUGGGCUUGUCUUGGGCCGAAUUUUGGAAAGAAAAAGAGAGUAUUGGGCUUUAAUGCCCCUAAGCCCAAUAUUAGAGUUAGGUUGGAUGAUUUUUGGCCCAAAUAAAAAUAUAAUAUGAUUUUUACACUUUGUUGGGCUAGUUUGAGUUAAUUAUGAUUCAUAAUAUUUAAUUUAUUUCAUUCUAGGCCCAAUAUGGCCCAAAAUGUUGAAAUAAAUNGAGUUAGGUUUGAUGAUUGUAAGAUAUAAGUGUGAUUUUUAUACUUUGUUGGGCUAGUUUAAGUUAACUAUGGCCCAUAAUGUUUCAUGAAGUUGAUUUAUUCCAUUCUAGGCCUAAUGUGGCCCAAAUUGUUAGAAUAAAUGAAAGUAGGUCCAAUUAGAGCCCAUUAAAAGGUUCUAAACCCAUGAUAGUCAAAUUGGAGGCUUAUUGGCCCAAUGAGUCCAAUAAGGAAGUCCUAGUCCAAAAUGGACCUAACAAGAACUUCUAGGGUUUCCAAUUACUUAUUGACUAUUAGUAGUAUUUGUAUGGUGUCUUGGAUUGAAAUUUUGUUGUCAUAGAGUAAGUAUCAUACAUGCUCUUAGGUUUUUGAUUCUACACUUUUACCUGAAUGUAGUGAUUACAAGACACAAAAUUUCUAGUUGUG